GAUGAAGAACGCAGCGAAAUGCGAUACGUAGUGUGAAUUGCAGAAUUCAGUGAAUCUUCGAAUCUUUGAACGCACAUUGCACCUCUCGGUAUUCCGGGAGGUAUGCCUGUUCGAGCGUCAUUUGUACCCUCAAGCUCUGCUUGGUGUUGGGUGUUUGUUCCGCCUCUGUGUGUGAACUCGCCUCAAAACAAUUGGCAGCCGGCGUACUUGUUUCGGAGCGCAGCACAUUUUGCGAUCCAGAUCAACGUACAGCGGCAUCCAAGAAGCCUUAUUUAACGCUCUUGACCUCGGAUCAGGUAGGGAUACCCGCUGAACUUAAGCAUAUCAAUAAGCGGAGGA
rnacentral:misc_RNA from 1 species